rnacentral:tRNA from 1 species
GGCCGUGUGGCUCAAUGGCAGAGCGUCUGACUACGAUAUAAGUAUAUCAGGAGGUUGCAGGUUCGACCCCUGUCUCGGUCA